AUGGCGGCGGCGGCAACAGCGCUGGGCAGGAGAGGUGGAGGUGGCAGAAGAGGUAGUGGGGCUGGCGGUGGCUCUAGUGGCGGGACAGGCAGCAGCCACAGUGGCUUGUUGGGUAAGUGGAAGACUGAUGAUAAGCCUGUAAAAAUUGACAAAUGGAAUGGAUCUGCUAUGAAAAACUCUUUGGAUGAUUCUGCCAAAAAGAUACUUCUGGAAAAGUACAAAUACGUGGAGAAUUUUGGGCUAAUUGAUGGUUGCCUCACCAUCUGCACCAUUUCCUGGUUUUAUUUAUUCAUUUAUUUUUUGCCAUUGUGGCUUUAAUUUGGGAUUAUAUACACCCCUUUCCAGAGUCUAGGCCAGUUUUGGCUUUGUGUGUCAUAUCCUAUUUUGUGAUGAUGGAAAUUCUGACCAUUUAUACCUCGUAUAAGGAGAAGAGCAUCUUUCUUGUGGCUCACAGGAAAGAUCCUACGGGGAUGGAUCCCGAUGAUAUUUGACAACUGUCCUCUAGUCUCAAAAGGUUUUAUGACAAAUAUACCCUGAAGCUGACUUUCAUCAGUGGGAGAACAAAACAGCAGCGGGAAGCCGAAUUCACCAAGUCCAUUGCUAAAUUUUUUUAUCAUAGCAGGACACUGGUCAUGGAUGCGUAUGAACCUGAAAUAUCCAGGCUCCAUGACAGUCUUGCUGUAGACAGAAAAGCAAAAUAGAUCAUUCUAAAAGC